UGCCGAUUGGCCGAUGGCCGAAAAGGGAGCUAACCCUGGAAACCGUUACAAGGCAAGCUGUGUGACACGCAUGCGCAGUCUAGAUUGUGAAGCUUAGGAACGCCAUGACUGUACUCCUUCUAACCGCAUAGAUAAAUCAUGGCUUAUAUAGAAGACUAAUGGGGGUCCCCAUACCAUCUAGAACAUAAUCCUGUCUGGCUGCAGUAUCAUCUUUGUCCCAGCUGAGGCAGGGGCAUGGACAAAGUCCAGUAAGUGGGGGCGGGACUAGUACUUCUAUGUGCUUGUUCCUGUUCUAUCAGACUGCAGCAUGAAAACAGAGGGAAGGGGAUUACAGAGCAGCCUGCAGUGAUUGGAUGAGGAGACCCAGCACAGCAAACUCAGGGAGAAAGAGUAGUCAUGCUGAGUGAGGCCACACCCCCUCCAGAGCACAGGAUGACAAACCAAGUGAGCAACAGAUUGAAGAACAGACAGUCUUGCUGGACAUCUGCCAGAUCUUCAAGGAGAAGCCCUCUGCCGCACCCUGAAAGUGAUCAUUUAUUAUCUGUCUGCCCAAUACAGACAGAAUGUAGGGAUUGCCAUAUGUCCCUGGUCAUACUGAUCAAUCCAUCACAUGACCAUUAGUUUUUACAAUUGAUUAUAACAAUGGUCCUGUUUUUAUUGUGUUAGCUGUUUGCAUAACUAGUUGUACCACAUUUUAGAGUUCUUAAUCAGUAGCUAUCUAAAUGAAAAUACAGCACAAGUUAUAAAGAUUUUGUCUCAAUCAUUUCACUGAAUGCAAGUAAAUGAUCAUUGACUAUAGAAUGUAACAACAGCCUUAGACAUUAUAUUUAGUUCUUCACUUGGUAAAAAAAAACAGUCACGUCCAAAUUCUCUUGCCAUAUAAAUUAGGCUACUUUGGCCAAAUCCACUGAUUUCAUCAGGAUUGUAUAAUCAUCUAAUGCUGUGUUUUCCUAUUGGUGUGCUUAAAGGGGUACUUUGGUGUAAAACACAUUUUUUAAAAUCUAUUGGUGCCAGACAGUUAAACAGAUUUGUAAUUUACUUCUAUUUAAAAAUCUUAAUCCUUCCAGUACUUAUCAACU